rnacentral:rRNA from 1 species
UGAGGAAUAUUGGGCAAUGCCCGCAAGGGUGACCCAGCAACGCCGCGUGGAGGAUGAAUGUCGUAAGAUUGUAAACUCCUGUUAGAGGGGAAGAAUAGUACCGGUUGGACCGGUAUAUGACUGUACCCUCAGAGAAAGCCCCGGCUAACUACGUGCCAGCAGCCGCGGUAAUACGUAGGGGGCAAGCGUUGUUCGGAGUUACUGGGCGUAAAGAGUGCGUAGGCGGUUUUCUAAGUUCGGUGUGAAAUCUCCCGGCUUAACUGGGAGGGUGCGCCGAAGACUGGGAUGCUGGAGUGUGGGAAAGGCAGGCGGAAUUCCUGGUGUAGCAGUGAAAUGCGUAGAGAUGCGGAGGAACACCGAUGGCGAAGGCAGCCUCCUGGGAUGACACUGACGCUCAUGCACGAAAGCGUGGGGAGCAAACA